rnacentral:lncRNA from 1 species
AUUUUGCUUCUCCUUAGUUCUUUCAAUUUAGCUUCCAUCUAAAAUAUAGUUAAAGCAAAAACUCUUUUUUGUUUUUUUUGAAAACGGUGAAGUUUACAAGCGUACAAACUCUGUACUUAUCCAUAAAGUUCUUAGGACAUGACUCAUGACUACCCCCUUAAACUUGUUAUGUUCCUCCUACGUUUGUGACCCAUAACCUAUGAUACUACUAGAGGAUGUUGUAAGACGGGGGCUUUCUUUGAGACUUUCCUCUACCUUUGUUGUAUAGAUAAAAGUUACUCUUCUUCGAAAAAAAAUUACCUUUUCAGCUUUGCCUUCUCUCUAGCUUUCACCGCUUCAUCUUCUUCUUUGCUACCUCUGUGUAUGUAGUUUACCUACACCGAGGGUGCCAUGGCGAGAGGAAGAGGCAGACCCAAAAAAGUUCUGGUGCGCAUCUAUGCUAACACUAUUCCCCCAAAAACUGUUAACACUGAGCUACAAUCGGUU